UUCUAUUAAUUAAUUAAUAGUAAAAUCUGCUCAAUGAAAUUUUAAUAGCCGCAAUUCGUGCUAAGGUAGCAUAAUAAUUUGUCUUUUAAUUGAAGACUAGAACAAACGAUUUAACUUUUAAAUUUAUCUCUCAAAUUUAAAAUUUUUAAAUUMUCCUAAACGUUAAAAGACGUUUAUGAAAAAGAAAGACGAUAAGACCCUAUUGAAUUUAACUAAAGUUUAACUGGGGCAGUUAAUMAAUUAACACUUUAAUUUAAAUUUAAAAUUAAAAGACCCAAUAUAAUUAAUUAUCUAACUAAAUUACCAUAGGGAUAACAGCGCUAUUAUUUUUUAAAGAUCUUAUAUAAAAAAUACUUUACGACCUCGAUGUUGAAUUAAUAUACCAAUAUUACGCAAUAGUUAUAUUGGAAGUCUGUUCG
rnacentral:rRNA from 1 species